rnacentral:tRNA from 1 species
GGGGCAGUAGCUCAGCUGGAUAGAGCAUCAGACUACGAAUCUGGCGGUCGGGGGUUCGAAUCCCUCCUGCCCCG